rnacentral:rRNA from 1 species
AUUGAACGCUGGCGGCCUGCCUUACACAUGCAAGUCGAGCGGCUGCAGGGAGCAGGCUCCUGGAUUCAGCGCGGGACGGGUACGUAAUGCUAAGGAAUCUGAAUGUUACUGGGGGUUAAGGUUAGCUAAUGGACACUAUAACUGAUUACGUCUUGUGGGAGAAGGUGAAGGCAGUUCGGACUCCACGCUAUCGGAAGUGCAUCGGUCGGAUUAGCUAGUUGGUGGGGUAAAGGCAAACCAAGGCGACGAUCAGUAACUGGUCUGAGAGGAUGAUCAGUCACACUGGAACUGAGACACGGCCCAGACUCCUACGGGAGGCAGCAGUGGGGAAUUUUGGACAAUGGGCGAAAGCCUGAUCCAGCCAUGCCGCGUGUCUGAAGAAGGUCUUCGGAUUGUAAAGCACUUUAAUUUGGGAAGAAGGGCAGUAAGUUAAUACCGUGCGCUGAUGACGUUACCAACAGAAUAAGCACCGGCUAACUUCGUG